AGAGUUACCUGUUCCUACUGUCCUCGGACUACGAGAGGUCAGAGUGGAGAGAAGCAAUUCAGAAACUACAGAAGAAGGAUCUCCAGGCCUUUGUCCUGAGCUCAGUGGAGCUCCAGGUGCUCACAGGAUCCUGUUUCAAGCUUAGGACUGUACACAACAUUCCUGUCACCAGCAAUAAAGACGACGAUGAGUCUCCAGGACUCUAUGGCUUCCUUCAUGUCAUCGUCCACUCUGCCAAGGGAUUUAAGCAAUCAGCCAGUAAGUGCCCUGGCCAGGACGAGGUUGGGUGGGCCAUUGUGGAUUCUGCACUGCUCUGCCCAGGAUGGGGCCCUGCCAGCACGCCUUUAGACAUGGGGCAUUCCCCUGGAGGCCAGAAACCAGCUCCUCUUGGCAGGGAGGUCACCCCUGGCCUUUGUCUCCAAAGUCCUCUUUCUCAAGCCCUCCCUGAAGCUGUCUGAAACCUAGGGGCCGGGCGCGGUGGCUCACCCCUGUAAUCCCAGCACUUUGGGAGGCCCAGGCGGGCGGAUCACGAGGUCAGGAGUUCGAGACCAUCCGGGCCAACAUGGUGAAACCCCGUCUCUACUAAAAAUACUAAAAUUAGCGUGGGCAUGGCGGUGGACGCCUGUAGUCCCAGCUACUUGGGAGGCUGAGGCCAGAGAAUCCCUUGAACCCGGGAGGCGGAGGUUGCUGUGAGCUGAGAUCAUGGCAUUGCACUCCACCCUGGGCGACAGAGCGAGAAUCCGUCUCAAAAAAAAAAAAAAGAAACCGAGUGCGACAAACACGUGGACUCCAACUUCAUAUCUGAGGGCGACAAACACGUGGACUCCAACUUCAUAUCUGCCCAUGACAAGCUGUGUGACCUUGGGCAAGUUUCUUAACCUCUCUGGGCCUCCACUAAAAGGCAGUCACGCUUGUGAAUUUUGACCCGAGAGCAGGCUGGGAUAUGAUCGUGUGUGUGCAACGCUGGUGUGCUGCCACGCUCAUCGCUUUUUCUCCCCUUCCCCCUUGUG
rnacentral:lncRNA from 1 species